AUAGUACUCCCUCCGUCCGGAAAUACUUGUCAUCAAAAUGGAUAAAAGAAGAUGUAUAUAGACGUAUUUUAGUUCUAGAUACAUCUCUUUUUAUCCAUUUUGAUGUCAAGUAUUUUCGAACGGAGGGAGUAAUUG
rfam:Triticum aestivum genome assembly, contig: Triticum_aestivum_CS42_TGACv1_scaffold_131783_2BL